AACGAACGCUGGCGGCGCGUCUUACACAUGCAAGUCGAACGGCAGGAAGGGGCUUGCCCCUUCUGAGGGUGGCGGACUGGUGAGUAACACGUGGGUGACAUACCUUUUAGUUGGGGAUAGCUAUUAGAAAUAGUAGGUAAUACCGAAUGUGACCGUACCUGUUAGAGGGGUACGAGGAAAGGAGCGAAGGCUUCGCUAAAAGAAUGGCUCGGGGCCCAUUAUGCUCGUUGGUGGGGGAACGGCCCACCAAGGCGAUGAUGGGUAUCCGGCCUGAGAGGGUGAACGGACACAUUGGGACUGAGAUACGGCCCAGACUUCUACGGGAGGCAGCAGUGAAGAAUAUUCCGCAAUGGACGAAAGUCUGACGGAGCGACGCCGCGUGGAUGAAGAAUGCCGAAAGGUUGUAAAAUCCUUUUAUGCCGGAUGAAUAAGCACAGUAGGGAAUGAUUGUGCGGUGACCGUAGGGAUUGAAUAAGCACCGGCUAAUUACGUG
rnacentral:rRNA from 1 species